rnacentral:tRNA from 1 species
AAGGAAGGACAGAAAUCAGUAAGUACUGCUAAUACUUAUGUACCGGGGUUAAAAUCCCCGGCUUUCUUA